CAUGGCCAGCAUUCAUCUGUGUGACUCUUGAAUGACACAAACAUUUCUAUAGCUUCUACUUCAGGAAAAGAUGGAAUAAUAAGGACCAGAUUUACGUUCGGUUUGAUAAAUGUAAAAGUAUGGGACAUAUUAUUGAAAUAACAGUUGAAAAGCCAUCGGACACCAGGCAAUGAAGGGGAAUGAUCCGUGAGAACAGGUGAGCAGGUGCUGGGUCCAGUGCAAGACACAGGUGGUAAAAGGAAGAGGCCAGGCAAAGCUCAGCAGACUCACUAAGACGAAAAGCCACAGCUGAAGUUAGGAAGUCCAAGGCAGCUGGAAUUCACAUAAGAGCGAGGGGUACACAGUGAGAGCUGUGGAGGUUCGCAGAGGGUCCUCCCCCACCACUCAGCUAAGUACUGGCCAGAGGAUGGAAAAGAGAGGGAGCCAUACAUGACAUUAGAGGGAGCAUUGUCCAUAGAUCGAACAGGGAUGGGAAUAGUGCCUGUUCCUCCCAGCCAGAGUAGAAAACAAAUUCACAGGGCUCUGGGUACAGUACUUAGAAGGGUUUUCCUUCAGUGGAGGGUGAAAUUAGCCUUAGGAUAAAUGCUGCUCUGAUCCCGCUUAGCAAAGCAUAAAAGCAAGAUCAAAAAGAUCAAACUCAAAACAAAGUUCAAAGCUAUUUACAGGAAUAUAAAAUAUACAGCAUCUGACAAAGUAAAAUUCACAAUGCAUGGCACUCAAUCAAAAGUCACUAACUAGCCCAUGAGAAAGAAAAAAAUGACCCAUAAUGUGGAUCAAUAUCCAUCAACCAACAGUGAUCCAGAAAUGACAAAUGAUAGAAUAGAAUUGGUAGACAAGGACAUGAAAGCAAGCAUUAAAACAACAUUUCAAUAUUUCAUACAUUUAGUAUAAUAGAGGAAGAGGUUGAUCAUGUUAACUAGAUGCAAGAAAGAUUUAGAAAAGAUCCACAUCAAACUUCUCAAGAUGAAAGCCACAAUGUGUGAGAUAAAAAAUACAUGGGGAGGGGACUCAAGAUGGCGCUGUGAGAACAACCCAGGAUUGGAGCCCGCGUUGAAUCCGCAAACGCUGAAACACCAGAAGUUGGAAAACAACACAAGAAAGCCAUGAAACUUUCAGCCUGUGUGUUGCUGUCCAUGGCCAACGACUGAACCCCUGCAGUGGACCCUGCGGUGAAGAGAACAGCUCCUGCAUAAGUCCUCCCCUCCCUUCUCCUCAGCUCUCCCAGACAUUCCUUCCACCUGUGGCCAAUGUGGAGCAUGCCUCUCUGCUGACAUGUCUUCGUCAGAUGAUCCUCACAUUUGGUGUCCACUCACAUUCACCAAUUUAUUUCUGCCUCAGCAGCCUUAAGUUUGGUCAGCCUUACCAUGUUGCAGGCCCUGAACCAGGAAGUUGGGGUCUGGUGGCCCUGCUGCCAGUUUGGAGGAAGGGUAUUCCCCUGGGAGAAUUCUGAGCUCAGAGGGUCCUCCAGAGUUGUCAAGGGGCUGGAGGAGGUUUCUCCUGGUGGCCCGAGGGUACCUCCAAGGCCCAGAGGCAGAUGCAACUGAGGGGAAGGCCAUGCUCAGAAGGCCAUGGUCCAUGCAGGAGGUGGAACUAGAGGAGCACCCAGGAAGAAGGAAGAAGUGGAAGGACGCGCUGGGAGAAGGUGAAGUUGCGGUCUCAUCAUGUGUUGAAAGUAUGAUUUCACUAUGGAGGCAGCGGGAGCCCCUGAAGGAGUAAUCUUUUUGCUCCUUUAAACAUGCACAUGGCACAAAAGUCAAAGCAUGCAGAGGGUAUGCUGAACAGUGAGUCUCCCCCACCCUGUCUGCACACCCUCUGGGCCCCUUUCUAGAGGUGCUGCUGUGCCCUGUGUGUCUGUGUGGAGCUCUUCC
ensembl:lncRNA